rnacentral:rRNA from 1 species
AGUGAACGCUGGCGGUAGGCCUAACACAUGCAAGUCGAACGGCAGCACAGUAAGAGCUUGCUCUUACGGGUGGCGAGUGGCGGACGGGUGAGGAAUACAUCGGAAUCUACUUUUUCGUGGGGGAUAACGUAGGGAAACUUACGCUAAUACCGCAUACGACCUACGGGUGAAAGCAGGGGAUCUUCGGACCUUGCGCGAAUGAAUGAGCCGAUGUCGGAUUAGCUAGUUGGCGGGGUAAAGGCCCACCAAGGCGACGAUCCGUAGCUGGUCUGAGAGGAUGAUCAGCCACACUGGAACUGAGACACGGUCCAGACUCCUACGGGAGGCAGCAGUGGGGAAUAUUGGACGAUGGGCGCGAGCCUGAUCCAGCCAUACCGCGUGAGUGAAGAAGGCCUUCGGGUUGUAAAGCCCUGUUGUUGGGAAAGAAAAGCAGCAGGUUAAUACCCCGCUGUUCUGACGGUACCCAAAGAAUAAGCACCGGCUAACUUCGUG